UGCAAAGUCGUGGAUGUGACGAAUGGG
rnacentral:piRNA from 1 species